UGGGGAAUUUUGCGCAAUGGGCGAAAGCCUGACGCAGCAACGCCGCGUGUGUGACGAAGGCCCUAGGGUUGUAAAGCACUGUGGGGAGGGAAGAAAAAACGGGGGUUGUACCCCGACUUGACGGUACCUCUUUAGAAAGCACCGGCUAACUCCGUGCCAGCAGCCGCGGUAAUACGGAGGGUGCAAGCGUUGUUCGGAAUUAUUGGGCGUAAAGGGCGUGUAGGUGGCACUCCAAGUCUGUUGUGAAAGCCCACGGCUCAACCGUGGAACUGCAAUGGAAACUGGGGCGCUCGAGUAUUGGAGGGGGUCGCGGAAUUCCCGGUGUAGAGGUGAAAUUCGUAGAUAUCGGGAGGAACACCAGUGGCGAAGGCGGCGACCUGGCCAAUUACUGACACUGAGACGCGAAAGCGUGGGUAGCAAACA
rnacentral:rRNA from 1 species